CAGCAGCCGCGGUAAUACGGAGGGGGCUAGCGUUGUUCGGAAUUACUGGGCGUAAAGCGUACGUAGGCGGCUUUGUAAGUUAGAGGUGAAAGCCUGGUGCUCAACACCAGAACUGCCUUUAAGACUGCAUCGCUUGAACGUCGGAGAGGUGAGUGGAAUUCCGAGUGUAGAGGUGAAAUUCGUAGAUAUUCGGAAGAACACCAGUGGCGAAGUCGGCUCACUGGACGACUGUUGACGCUGAGGUACGAAAGCGUGGGGAGCAAACAGGAUUAGAUACCCCCGUAGUCCCUGUCUCUUAUAC
rnacentral:rRNA from 1 species